rnacentral:sRNA from 1 species
CUUCUCUUGGUCAAUUUAGAGGAAGUAAAAGUCGUAACAAGGUCUCCGUUGGUGAACCAGCGGAGGGAUCAUUACCGAGUUUACAACUCCCAAACCCCUGUGAACAUACCUUAAUGUUGCCUCGGCGGAUCAGCCCGCGCCCCGUAAAACGGGACGGCCCGCCAGAGGACCCAAACUCUAAUGUUUCUUAUUGUAACUUCUGAGUAAAACAAACAAAUAAAUCAAAACUUUCAACAACGGAUCUCUUGGUUCUGGCAUCGAUGAAGAACGCAGCAAAAUGCGAUAAGUAAUGUGAAUUGCAGAAUUCAGUGAAUCAUCGAAUCUUUGAACGCACAUUGCGCCCGCUGGUAUUCCGGCGGGCAUGCCUGUUCGAGCGUCAUUUCAACCCUCAAGCCCUCGGGUUUGGUGUUGGGGAUCGGCUCUGCCUUCUGGCGGUGCCGCCCCCGAAAUACAUUGGCGGUCUCGCUGCAGCCUCCAUUGCGUAGUAGCUAACACCUCGCAACUGGAACGCGGCGCGGCCAUGCCGUAAAACCCCAACUUCUGAAUGUUGACCUCGGAUCAGGUAGGAAUACCCGCUGAACUUAAGCAUAUCAAUAAGGCGGAGAGACUCUUUGGUCUUUUAGAGGAAAUAAAGGGGCCUUUUUUUUUUGUAUGC